AUUGAACGCUGGCGGCAGGCCUAACACAUGCAAGUCGAACGAGUGGCGGACGGGUGAGUAAUGUCUGGGAAACUGCCCGAUGGAGGGGGCUAACUACUGGAAACGGUAGCUAAUACCGCAUACCAUCGGAUGUGCCCAGAUGGGCUUGGCUAGUGGGGGGGGUAAAGGCUCACCUAGGCGACGAUCCAUAGCUGGUCUGAGAGGAUGACCAGCCACACGUGAACUUAGACACGGUCCAGACGCCUACGGGAGGCAGCAGUGGGGAAUAUUGCACAAUGGGCUCAAGCCUGAUGCAGCCAUGCCGCGUGUAUGAAGAAGGCCUUCGGGUUGUAAAGUACUUUCAGCGGGGAGGCGUUACCCGCAGAAGAAGCACCGGCUAACUCCGUGCCAGCAGCCGCGGUAAUAC
rnacentral:rRNA from 1 species